CCGGGAUGUUCAUAACCCUUUGUUGUCCGACUCUGUUGCCUCCGGGGCGACCCUGCCUUCGGGCGGGGGCUCCGGGUGGACACUUCAAACUCUUGCGUAACUUUGCAGUCUGAGUAAACUUAAUUAAUAAAUUAAAACUUUUAACAACGGAUCUCUUGGUUCUGGCAUCGAUGAAGAACGCAGCGAAAUGCGAUAAGUAAUGUGAAUUGCAGAAUUCAGUGAAUCAUCGAAUCUUUGAACGCACAUUGCGCCCCCUGGUAUUCCGGGGGGCAUGCCUGUUCGAGCGUCAUUUCACCACUCAAGCCUCGCUUGGUAUUGGGCAACGCGGUCCGCCGCGUGCCUCAAAUCGACCGGCUGGGUCUUCUGUCCCCUAAGCGUUGUGGAAACUAUUCGCUAAAGGGUGUUCGGGAGGCUACGCCGUAAAACAACCCCAUUUCUAAGGUUGACCUCGGAUCAGGUAGGGAUACCCGCUGAACUUAAGCAUAUCAAUAAGCGGAGGAA
rnacentral:rRNA from 3 species